UCCUACGGGAGGCAGCAGUGAGGAAUAUUGCGCAAUGGGGGCAACCCUGACGCAGCAACGCCGCGUGUGGGAAGAAGGCUUUCGGGUUGUAAACCACUUUUGCCCGGGACGAAAGGGGGGACCUGAAUAAGGUUGCCCGAUGACGGUACCGGGAGAAUAAGCCACGGCUAACUCUGUGCCAGCAGCCGCGGUAAGACAGAGGUGGCAAGCGUUGUUCGGAGUUACUGGGCGUAAAGAGUCUGUAGGUGGUCUGUCAAGUCUUUGGUGAAAGGCCGUGGCUUAACCAUGGGAAUGCCAAAGAGACUGGCAGACUGGAGGCUGGGAGAGGGAAGCGGAAUUUCUGGUGUAGCGGUGAAAUGCGUAGAUAUCAGAAGGAAGGCCGGUGGCGAAGGCGGCUUCCUGGAACAGACCUGACACUGAGAGACGAAAGCGUGGGGAGCAAACAGGAUUAGAUACCCUGGUAGUCCACGCCCUAAACGAUGGGUACUAAGUGUGGGAGGGUUAAACCUCCCGUGCCGCAGCCAACGCGGUAA
rnacentral:rRNA from 1 species